AUCUAUUUAUAUAUUUAAAUUGUUUUUCAAUUUCUUUGAUAAUUUGCCCUCUUUACACCAUAUCUUUAUUCACGGGCACAUAUGAAUUUGAUUUGAACUAAACUGUUUUUGAAUUUGAAUUCUCAUUGUCAUUCUUUCUAAAUGAUUUACAAUCUUUGUUCGAUUUGUUGCAAUCUGAUAUACAAUCUUUGCCCGCAACCCCUGUUAUUGAACAUUAAGUAUCAACCUUCCACUUUCCUUCCUGCCACAGCAGCAAGCCCUUCUGUUGCUGCUGGCAAUGUGUCACUCACUCGUGACAUGGAGUAUACCAAUAAAGGGAAUGGUACCACGGUUGUGUGAUUAAAGCAUAGUUUAGUGCGGCAUGGCUUGUGUUAUUUUGGCAUUCCACAUUUGUUAUUUAAAAACUAGUUCUGGUAUGAAGUAGUUUCUGCUGUUUAUGCAAUUUUUUCUGUGCAUAUACAUACAAAUUUAUACAUGUCAUGUUUUUCUUUAUAAAUUUGGUUCUCUUAACUUCAGCAAUUUCCUUUUUGUUUUCUUUUUUACACUCUAAAAGCUUCAUCUGCCCCUGUCAUCUUACAUCCAUAUUCCUUUUAUCUCAUAUGCGCGACGAGCGAACAUAUAUGCAUUUGAAUUGUGCCAAUAACCCCUUCCUAAGCAAUUUUGCUAGUUAAAAUGACGGUAUGCUAGCUGACAAGUUGGACCGGACACAAUUUGACGGGCUUUUCUUCCUUUAGAUAUAUUUUAAGUGAUAAACAUCAGUCUACCUUUACUUCAGUGGACGAAUGUGUUUGUUACCUGUGGGCAAGGGCGGAUCCAGGAUUUCUUAAUGGGGUGGGCUAAAUCAAAAUAUAUCAACCAAAAUCAACUAUUGUGUAAUUCAAUUUUAGUUAAUUAACAAUGUUUCUUUAGACAAUUGACUGAUUAAGGCAUAGAAAAUCCUAUUCGGGUAAUUGAUUAAAAAAAUUACCAAUUUAUUUCUGAACAAUUCACCACUCAGUACCCUAUCUCUUCUUUUGACCAAUUUACUAAUCCUAUUUGAGGAUCUACUAGUGGAAGCAGAGUGUGUAAUGACCCGAAUUUUUCGGAUAAAUUUUUUUCGUUAUCUUUUUCCUUCUGAGUUUGGUUUCUUGUUGAUUAGUGUCGUCUCGAGUGCUCUGGAGUGAUUCCGAGACUCUUUUCUGUGGAUUGACAACUUCCUUUGAGGACCGAGUCAUUUUUGCAUUUUCACUUUUCGGACACUAUGCGUUAUUUCGUCUUUUUCUUAUUCUGUCUUAUCUCUGUUUGUCAGUUUUUGGCGCAACCUCACUUUUCAUGCUCGGAGUUAGUUUUUGACUUCACAUGUCUUCAUCUUCAGUGGUUUCCUCGAAAUAUGUAUCUUCACUUUUGCAAGAAAAUAUUCUGAUUGUCCCCGGUGUCCAUAGGGGUAUGGAUGCACAAUUCUUCAGAACUUUUUUCAUUUCUUGAGGUGUUUUUCGUAAAUAUCUUUUGAAGAUAUUUUAUUCAGGGGCAUCUAAGAAAAUAUCUUUUGGAAGAUAUUUUCAUUCUAGGGUAGUUUCGCAGUUUUCACUUUUUGGAGGGGCAUUGUGCAAUUAAUGAAAGUUAUUGCUAAAUGCCUUGUUUUGAGCCUGGAUCCUCGUACGGGAUUCAUUUUCACAUUUCGUCGAGUCGUGAACUCUUAGAAUUUCUUCCUGGUCGAUGUUUUCCAGUUUCAGGGUUUCUGGCCCCGGUUUGUGCCAAACUUGUUUGGGGCAUAACUCUCUGCUCGGGACUCGGUUUUUGACGCCGUUUCUUUCGUUCAUAUUUUCUCAUUUUGAAUCUUUUUUGUUCAUGGAAUUUCGCUGUUUGAGUGCGUUUGCUCAAAAUCCACUUUUCUGGACCCGGCGGGGCCCUUUCGGGGCACUUUUUGAGACUUACUAUAAAUAUGGGACUUAAGAACAAAAAAAUCAGAUUUCUUCUUCUUCUUCCUCUCCCAUGGCCGGCCAAGGUCCCUCCCAUGGCUGCCACUUUCUCUCUCCUCCUUUGAUCCACUUUUCUUUGGUGAAAAGUCUUCGGCCUUAACGUUUAAUGCUUGCCUUGACGUCGUGCACCUUUCCCCCUUAUUAGAAACCAUUUCUGACCAAAUUUUGAGUUCGGAAUUGAGGUCAAGUUUGGAUUUUCAUGGGGCUUCAUGUAGAUCGUGUUGUUCCCGACAAAACCCUAAAGUUUCGUCGGAUUCGGAGCCGUUUCAUUUCGGUGGGGAUUUGAGAUUUCAUUUCAAAUGGAGGUAGGGGAUAUUUUAGGAUUUUGUAUGUGUUGUAUGGGGUGUUUUCCAUGAUUUUACAACUUGAUUGCAUGACUUUUAUCAAAUCUAGAAAAUUAGUAAUAUUUAAUUCUUUGUAAAUGAUUAAAUUUACAUGGAUGUACCUUGCAUGAAAUUGACUUGUAGCAUGCUUUUAAAUUAAGUCUAGGCAUGUUGUUUAACAUACUUAAAUUUGAGAUCAUUUGGAUAAUUAUGAAAAUUUAGAGACUUUAAUUAAGAGACGUCAAUUAAAAUGAUUAAUUAAAAUCUAUUUAAUGGUUCAUUUAGUUUAAUUAAGUUUUGACUUGAUAUUUGAGAUGACUAGGACUUGUAUACUAGUAUAUGUUAAUAUGGGACCAUUUUAUGUUGUUUUAGAAUUUAGGAAUUUGAUUAUCAUGAUUUAAUUAAAUUCCAUUUUGUUAUUCAAUUGGCCUAAUCAAGUUUUGGAAUUGGUAUAUGCAAUGACCAUGCUAUGUUGUUUAACAUGUGUAAUUUGAGGCCAUUUGGUUGAAAAUUGCAACUUAGAGGAAUUAAUUAGUUGCUUGAUUAAAUUCCAUUUCUAUUGCAUUAUGGAUUUAAAUCAUGUGUUUGACGUUGAUUGUAUGUCUAAAGCAUGAUUUUAGACUUAUAAUGAAUUUAUGAGAUUACGUUUUAAUAUUAGAUUAUCUUGUUAUAGCGUGUAACGAAUCGCACACUGAAGAUUCGACAUGUGAUGUUAUUAUAGCGCGUAACGAAUCGCGCUCUGAAGAUUCGACAUUUGUCAUCCUAUAGUAGUUGUGAAUUUAGAGCAUGUAUUAUGUGGUUACAAACUACUUGUGCAUGGGAUGUGGUUUCGUAUAUAUAUAAGUUGUUAAUUUAUUUAUUUUGGAGUCACUUGGGACAUGGUUAUUAUGAUAUGGCUAAAGUUCGGCUUUAGUGCGGGAGGUAUGAAUUCUCCCCAAUUGAGAUAGUGCGCACUUAGGGUGGUUUUCCCUGCGGGUUAGUGCCCGGAACAACCAUUGAUCUCGGCAGAAUUCCGAGUCUAGAUGUCUAAGUCUUCCAUUAUUUAUUUUCGCAUUCAAUUUCAAGUUAGCAAUCAUGUUUAUAUUGUGACUUGUGGUUUUGGUUAUUGGGGAUUUUGAUAUUGUUAAGUACAUCCAUGCUUUAUGAUCUUUGUAGAUUUUGAUGUUGCCAAGUACAUCUAUGUUUUAUGAUUUUAAUAAAUCAUUUUAAUGUUGUUAAGUACAUUCAUGUUCAUGGUUUUUAAUAAAUCAUUGUGAGCUUUUAAUGUUGUUAAGUACAUUCUUGUUUUAUGAUUUUAAUGAAUCAUUAUAAGCUUUUGAUGUUGUCAAGUACAUUCAUGUUGUGUUGUUCAAAUGUAAAGUAGGAAUGAUUCUAUAGAUUCAUUUGGAACAUAGACGUUAGGUGGCAUGAUCACUUAUGUCGUUUUCGUUUUUUAGAUUUCAAAUUGAUGACUUUGAGAAUCUAUGUUAGUUGCUUUGUGUAAGCAUGUUCCUAUGUUGUUGCUUUGUGUAAGCAUGACCCUAUGUUGCUAUAAUUACAUGAAUGAAGUGAUUGAUGCUAGAAAUGAUCUUAGGUAGCUAAGAUGCUCCUUGAGUCUCACCUUUGACAUAGACGUUAGGUGGAAUGAACCACAAUAAUUAAUCAUGCAAACUUAUAAAACGUAGGUCGAUGCAUGCUCAUUUCGUACGAGUAGCUUUAUGUAACUCACCCCUACGAUACUGGGGCAUAUUUUAGGUACAGGAUUCAAGGUUAGAGAUUCUCACCAUGCUUGGAUGAUUUGGGAACUUGAAGGGUUCAAUUCUUGUGAAGGUUGGCUUGAAAAGCCAUUUGUAACCUUGUAUGUCAAAUGUGUAUAUUUGCUACUAGACUUGUAAUGUGUGCCUAAGCACACUUUUUGAUUCUCAUUUUAUGUAUAUGACAUGAGGCCAAUGGCCAAACUCCUUUUGAAAUUACAUUUAUGUCAUAGAUGUUAAUUUUUGCCUUCAAUGAGAACAUAUGGAAAACCAUGCGUUUUAGUAUACUAUUUUGUACCGGAGCGUGCAUUGUGUAUGAACUUCUUCCAUUAGCAUUCAUUUAACAUGCAUGAACUAUGGCCAAGGCCAAAACGGCAUUUCGAAAUCAUUUCAUGAUUUUAGGUUUCAAGUUUUCAUUCCAAACUUCAUUUUGUCAUUUUGGCCGUUGGGGGGUCAUAUUUUAUAUCGGCCAUAUUUUUGAGCCUUGGACCAUUGUAGCACAUCUUAUUAGGUAAGUUACAUUUGCGUGCAUGGUCGUUUCCGGGCAAAGCUUUUUCUUUGGUGAAAUGAGCCUCCUACGGACUCAUUUUACACUUUUGUUGCAUAUUCUGACCUAAGGGUAUUUUGGGAAUUUUUUUUGAAAAAUAAAUGCCGUUCUUUACAUGCUCACUUAGAAAAUGUGAUUUUUAGGGGGGGUUUCUUCUUCGUGUUUUUCCAUAAAAUGUCGUCUUGGCAUCGGAAAUCGAUCCCGAAGUUCAGCUCUCAGUUUUUAAAUUUAGCAGCUUUUUGGAUCCUCUUAACUAGUUUUCUUGGGAGGGAAUUUUGGGCAUUUCACAGUGUGUAUUGUUCGAUUUUCAUUGACAGUCACGUAGAAAACUCGAUUUUGAGGGGGGUUUCUUCUUUGUGUUUUUCCAGAAAAUGUCAUCUAGGCCCCUCAAAUUUCCAUUUUUUUUUUAAAAACCCCUGCUGCCAGGUUUUUGGGUCGCAUCCUUAUUGCCCCUUCACAUCUAAACGUUUAGAUGGGGUCUCGUAACCGGUUAGAUGAGUGUGGGCAGUGUAUUUCUCGUGAUUUUUGGCCUCCUAACCGGUUAGGAAGGUCUCCUAACCGGUUAGAUGAUCUAAGGUUUGCACUUUUUGACCGUUUUGCCCCUUCUUCUGCCGUUAGCCAUAUUUUCUUCAUCCGGACUCCGAAUCAAGUGAUUCUUGAGUCUAAAUUCAUUAAUUUUUCGUUGUCUUUCUAAUGGUGUGCUCGGUGGUACCCACUUUUAAGCUAGAAAUUACGUUUUUGCCCUUAGGUUCAUUCUUGUCCGUUUUUGAAACGUUGCUUUCGCAUUUGAUUCCUUUGGGUUCCGUGACCUCGUUGAGGGUCACAUUGGCGUCUUAGAGUCAUGUUGUAUUUCUAGAGACCGUUGUUUGUCUUUUGGUUCCGCAUUUCGGAUCCGUUAUCGGGUCAUCUUUCGGUUCAUCACUGACGCACCGGGUUGAAAAACUUGGGCCGUCACAGAGUGUGAGGUAGUUCAUGGCAAGCCCCUUCCAAUACUAUGGAAUUCACUCAAAAGCAUGCUUUUUGGAAGUAUUUUAAUUUUGAAGAAGUAACUUUAGAGCUUUACCUUGUUAUGAUUUUUUUUUUUUUUUAGUUCUGAAAAGAUUUACAUCUUCUAAAAGCUUGGCAUGUUGAUAAAAAUUGUUUCAGAUUCAAUCCCUACAAAUUUCUAAUCCAAUUCAGAAAUUUUUUUUUUUCUUUAUGCCCAGAUUCAAAUUUUUUUGUAGACAUAAUUGAUGGAAAAAAAAAAAAAACAGAAAUAGAAGUUAUAGAAAUAAAAAAUAUAUAUUUGUUUUGCUGAAAUAAAAUGUAGAUUAUGGUGGUCACCUCAAAAUGCAAUGUAAAUUUUUUUACUUUAUAUUGUAAAUAUAUAUAUAUAUGAAAAAGAUCAUAAAAAAUUUCACCAAAUAGGAUUUAGUUUGCAAAACAAGAAUUACAGACCUUGAUUAGUUGAUUUAGAAAAAAAUUUAGAACAAAACUAAUACAUACAAGUUAGCAGUCGGAGAGAGAGAGGGGGGCAAGCAUGAGAGUUGAGAGACAGCGGACCAGCGGCUGAAGCUUGCGAAUGGCAAAUCCGAACUAGAACAGCGGCGAUGGAAACUGAAAGAUAUGGGUUUUGAUUUUUUGAACAAUUUGAAAUAAUAUGCUGAUAUAGGUUUUGAUAUAGGUAAUAGGUUUUGAAAUUUUCAUUAUUGCAUAUAGAUAGAUAAACUGAAAUAAAUGGGUUUUGAACUUCUGAUUCUUGUAGAUUUUGUAGUUUGCAGUUGCAGAGAGACAAAGAGAGGGCAAGUUCAGAGUUGAGAACGAGAAUAGAGAUGGAGGCGAUUGGGGAGGCUGAAAUGAGAUGCAACAAAAAUUGCAAAGGCAAGAGGAAAUGCUAAAACAAAUGCAAGUGCUUCAAUCGAUGUUUGCACAGAAUGCUAACAACCAGUCUUUUCCCAAUGCUCCACCUCAAGUCUCACCUAUAAAAAAUAUGGCCGGGAAGAGGUGUGAGUUAUUGCAUUAUAAUGGAAGAGGAUCAAUUGUUGCUGAGGGUGAAGUUUUUGAAACAAAUCCUGAUGAAUUCUUAGGUCAUGCUACUAUUGGUUCCGAUUGUUAGCAAGUGUGGAUCAAUGAAGUCUUUGAUAACGAUUUACCCUUGUAUAGGGCUCAGCCUCCAUAUGAGCAUUUGAAAGAUGUUAUUGGAUAUAAAACUGCAUGGCCUAUCAAGUUUAUCAAAUUUUGAAAUUUGGAGCAGACCAUACUAGUGCAGUGGAUUGGUGGGCCUUUAUAUCUUGCUUUUGGUAAAUUGACAUUUCAAGUUCUUCUCCCCUUUGUCAUUUACUUUUUAUUUUGAAGUAAUAUAUUUUCUUGCAUAAAUGAGUUUUUUUUUUUUUUAUGUGGGAGAGCCUUUUCAAUCCUAAACCCUCUUUCUCUUUAGUAAAGCAUACCACACUUCGGGCAUGAGUUUUUUUUAUUUGAAUAUAUGAGUUGCACAUUUGUUAUUUUCUAAGAGGUUACUUUUUUAUGUGAUAGGGAAAAAUGUAAUGGUUGGAUUUAGUUUCUUUCUACGCCUUGUACAGUGAAUAAAGAUGGUUGGGCAAGCGUGGUUGUGUUACUUCUUUUUGCAAUCUUUUGUUAGCACUUGGUUUUCUUUUUUUUAACAAUGAUGGAGACUUUGUACUCCAAGUUAUUCAAUGAAUGUUUUGGAUUAAUUUUUGGCGACUGUUCUUUUUUUUUUUUUUUUUUUUUAACAAUGAUGGAAACUUUGUAAUUCAAAUUAUUUAAUGACUGUAUGGAAUUAAUUUUUGGUGAUCGUUGUAUAUAUAUGGUUUUGGUUGUAAUUUGGUUGUGUAUAUGGAGUAGCAUAUGAGUGAUAUAUGUUGUUGGAUGUCAAGUUACCAAUUUAAUAUAUAUAUAUAUAUAUACACACACUUUAUACCACAAUAA